rnacentral:rRNA from 1 species
GAUGAACGCUGGCGGCGUGCCUAAUACAUGCCAGUCGAGCGAACAGACGAGGAGCUUGCUCCUCUGACGUUAGCGGCGGACGGGUGAGUAACACGUGGAUAACCUACCUAUAGGACUGGGAUAACUUCGGGAAACCGGAGCUAAUACCGGAUAAUAUAUUGAACCGCAUGGUUCAAUAGUGAAAGACGGUUUUGCUGUCACUUAUAGAUGGAUCCGCGCCGCAUUAGCUAGUUGGUAAGGUAACGGCUUACCAAGGCAACGCUGCGUAGCCGACCUGAGAGGGUGAUCGGCCACACUGGAACUGAGACACGGUCCAGACUCCUACGGGAGGCAGCAGUAGGGAAUCUUCCGCAAUGGGCGAAAGCCUGACGGAGCAACGCCGCGUGAGUGAUGAAGGUCUUCGGAUCGUAAAACUCUGUUAUUAGGGAAGAACAAAUGUGUAAGUAACUAUGCACGUCUUGACGGUACCUAAUCAGAAAGCCACGGCUAACUACGUG